CUCCUCCCCUCCAGAAACCUCAGUUUGUUUUUCAGAGUCCAUCAUCUCUCCUGCUAGGACAGUGGCCUUUCCUCCUUGGUGCCUAUUGAGGUGGGUUGUUGGCAGCUGCAGUGUCUGCGGUAGAGAUGCUGGACGCAUAACAGCCUCUGGUCAUCGUAGCAAUUAGCACAAUUCCGAAAAGCGGCCAGCUUUGACUCAGUGAGUGAUUUUAAAGAGAAGGAGUCAGCGGAUCAAUAUUCGACCCCUCCACUUCAUGGAUAGGCUCCUUCUGGCGGCAGUUGUUGCCCCGCGGCCUCUCAUCCUUAGUGACGGAGAAGACAGCUGUGUUUCUCAGUCAUGUUUUCCAGUAUCUCACCAAUAUCAUUUAUUGCCAGAAGUUCAUAAGGAAGUUAUACAGAGGAGUCUCUCCAGAAAAUGCACAAUGUUUAUUACUGUGUCUUUUAUUCCAAAGCUCUAUGAAUAAAUGUUUA